CUACGGGCGGCUGCAGUGAGGAAUAUUGCACAAUGGGGGGAACCCUGAUGCAGCAACGCCGCGUGGAGGAUGACGCAUUUCGGUGUGUAAACUCCUUUUAUAUGUCAAGAAAAUGACGGUAGCAUAUGAAUAAGCACCGGCUAACUCCGUGCCAGCAGCCGCGGUAAUACGGAGGGUGCAAGCGUUACUCGGAAUCACUGGGCGUAAAGGACGCGUAGGCGGGUUGGAAAGUCAGGUGUGAAAUCCUACAGCUUAACUGUAGAACUGCACUUGAAACUUCUAAUCUAGAGUAUGGGAGGGGGAGAUGGAAUUAAUGGUGUAGGGGUAAAAUCCGUAGAUAUCACUAGGAAUACCUAAAGCGAAGGCGAUCUCCUGGAACAUUACUGACGCUAAGGCGUGAAAGCGUGGGGAGCAAACAGGGUUAGAUACCCUUGUAGUC
rnacentral:rRNA from 1 species